rnacentral:lncRNA from 1 species
AGCUCAUAAACGGCUGCAACGUGGUCAUCGUGAUCGUGCCCGAAGUCAAGGUGUUCCUGCGCAGCCAGCAGUGGUUCCCUUACAUUCCGGACGUACACAACGUGAGCUGGCUGGUGAGCGAGGAUUCGUCGGAGUACAUCACGGUUGGGCUGGCUGGUGCGAGCAUCUUUUUCGACUUGCUCAUGUUUGGUGGUUGCGUCACUAAGACUCCGCAGCUGCUGGACGCCGGAUGCCUGUGGCACUACUUCGAUUUGGGCGCCGACCUUAUCGUCGGCUUCGUGUCAGCCAAUUACUCGCCACCCAUCAUUGUCAUCAACGUAAGUUCAGACACCCCUUCGGCAUCUCUCUGCCGCUUCCUCAGUUUCCCCCCGACGG